rnacentral:lncRNA from 1 species
UCUACUUUCCUUAUUGAUUUUUCAUGCAGACAUCCAAAUAAAUGUAGGAUGUUUGACUUCAUGGGAUCUGUUAGUCUGUUUGUAUUAGCCUCAUGGAAAAGCCCCAGCUGUAUAAUGAAAGAGGAGAUGUUUCACUUGACAUCUGCAAUCUGAAUCUUCCUUACAAUGGUCAUGGCAGAGUAAUUCCUUACAGUGGUCACUGUAGAGUUAUCACCCUCAUUGUACCAAUAGGUAACAGAAUAAAAGGCCAAUUGUUCAGUUCCCUCUGCCCUACUAUUUAUACUCCAAAGACACUGCCCAGUUCUUAGAAGUCUAGCGUCAACAUGGAGCUCCAGUGUGGACAAGAGUGGGAAAGGAGAUGCAUAUCCAACAUAACAUCACUCAAAGCAAUUGGGACAGUGACAAAGGUGGCUGUUGACUAUAUCCACAAAAGAAACUCUCUAGGUCCAGUGGUCCCUAA